rnacentral:rRNA from 1 species
GAUGAACGCUGGCGGCGUGCCUAAUACAUGCAAGUCGAGCGAACGGACGAGAAGCUUGCUUCUCUGAUGUUAGCGGCGGACGGGUGAGUAACACGUGGAUAACCUACCUAUAAGACUGGGAUAACUUCGGGAAACCGGAGCUAAUACCGGAUAAUAUUUUGAACCGCAUGGUUCAAAAGUGAAAGACGGUCUUGCUGUCACUUUUAGAUGGAUCCGCGCUGCAUUAGCUAGUUGGUAAGGUAACGGCUUACCAAGGCAACGAUGCAUAGCCGACCUGAGAGGGUGAUCGGCCACACUGGAACUGAGACACGGUCCAGACUCCUACGGGAGGCAGCAGUAGGGAAUCUUCCGCAAUGGGCGAAAGCCUGACGGAGCAACGCCGCGUGAGUGAUGAAGGUCUUCGGAUCGUAAAACUCUGUUAUUAGGGAAGAACAUAUGUGUAAGUAACUGUGCACAUCUUGACGGUACCUAAUCAGAAAGCCACGGCUAACUACGU